AACGAACGCUGGCGGCAUGCCUAACACAUGCAAGUCGAACGAACCCUUCGGGGUUAGUGGCGCACGGGUGCGUAACGCGUGGGAAUCUGCCCUUUGCUUCGGAAUAACUCAGGGAAACUUGUGCUAAUACCGGAUGAUGUCUUCGGACCAAAGAUUUAUCGGCAAGGGAUGAGCCCGCGUAGGAUUAGGUAGUUGGUGGGGUAAGGCCUACCAAGCCGACGAUCCUUAGCUGGUCUGAGAGGAUGAUCAGCCACACUGGGACUGAGACACGGCCCAGACUCCUACGGGAGGCAGCAGUGGGGAAUAUUGGACAAUGGGCGCAAGCCUGAUCCAGCAAUGCCGCGUGAGUGAUGAAGGCCCUCGGGUCGUAAAGCUCUUUUACCAGGGAUGAUAAUGACAGUACCUGGAGAAUAAGCUCCGGCUAACUCCGUG
rnacentral:rRNA from 1 species